rnacentral:lncRNA from 1 species
CAGAAGCAAAAGCAAAUAAGGAAAGCUCAUUCAGAAGAUUAUUUGAAAUUCAAAUCGCAGAUCUUUCUUUCCUUAUUCAAAGAUAUGCACACACUGCAGCAGUCAUAUCUUCCUAUUUAGGCAGCAAGAUUUCAUGAAGACGCACUUGCCUCUUCUGCAUUCAGCAUUCAAAAUUCAAAUGAAGGCUCAACCUAAAAAGGAAAGACUGGACAAAUUCACUUUCCCUUCUGUACAUCCAUCCGCGCGCACCAACUUCCCUCUACAGAGCAUCCGCACGCACCUCUUGCCUUCUGAAGAGCUUGCAAUGCGAUUCUUUCCUUUUCAGACACAACUUGGGUAGCAAGCACCUCUUGGGCAGCAAGGGCAGCAUUUAAGGAUCUAGGGUAACACUUUCAACUAUAAAAAGACACAUAAGGAGCCUCCCCACAGCUUUUUCAAGACCCUCUUGGAUACACCUACGGGAUUGCAAAUGACACCAUCUCUUCUUCUUCCUUUCUUUAUUUUUUGAUUUUUGAUUCAGCUAUGAGUGGCUGAAACCUUUUAUUCUAGUUGAAGAUUGGUUGAAAUUUUGGUUGUUUUAUGGAUUGUGAGAUCUGAACACACAUUGUUUGUCUUUUGGUUAUUCAAUAUUCAUACAGUUCAUGCUUGAUUCUAUUAUUGCUUUGUUAUUUUGAUCAAAUUGGUCACUUGAUUCUUGAUUGCAAGGUAAUAUAUUGUUAGUUUGGAUAAUUUUAAGUCCGUAAUUGCUUUGAUUAUCCAAACAUAAGAACACUUGGUGUGAAAACUAAGGAAAUUGUAUGAUCUAGCAACAUCUCAUGCGUUUGAGUAGUUAGGAUUGGAUCUCUCUCUGUCUUCAUGCAGUUAACAAUUGUUUGAUGCCUAAGGCCUAAGGACGUUCCUUGACAAUUUGUUAAUUAGUAAUUAAUUAGAGGACGUUCCUUAAUUGGUUUAAUCAUAAGGAGAGACAUGGUGGUGAGAAGCGUUUUCCAUCUCCAUAACCAAUCUAUUGAAUCAAUCAAAAGAACAUAAGUUUCAAUGAUCAAUCCAAACACCUGAAGUGGAUCAAACUCUUCAACUAGACCUUUCUGAUAUUUGAUUUACCUUUUAUUUUACUAUUCGCUUAUUUAAUUGCUUUCAGUAGUUGCUUAAUCAAAUCAAUCUCAAAACCCCCCAUUUUAAUUUUAUUGCACUUUAUUUUCAUUUUGUUUUCAGUUAAUUGAUUUCAGUUUCUCAUUCAGUUAAUUCUUUUGGUCUUGUUAAGAAAAAUAGAUAAGUUUUCAAUUCUCUGUGGAUUCGAUCCUUUACCACUAUCUGCAGUAGUAAUAUUGUUGAUAACCAGAAAGGUUAUUUUUGACCGGCUUCGACAACCGCGAAUAAAAAAUUGGCACUGUUGUCGGGGAGUUGAUUUAACUUGUUUGUUUUUCUUUCAGGACCAAAUCAGGAACAAAGCACCACCGAAUCUGCCUCUGAAGAAGCCACCAUCGCAGAUCUCUUCUAAAACAUCUCCAUCGCACAUCUCACCCUCUCUUCGCCAUUCGGAUUGCCCAUCCUUUCAUCAAAGCAAGUCACCAUCGCAGAUCUGAAUCAUGGAUGAGGUAAGUACAUCUGUUCUCUAUUCUCAACUCACAUCUGUUAUGAAAGAUUUUGCCAUAGGAAUAGUUCGACAGGUUCAAGCAUUCCAGCCACCUAGGCCAUGUGGGAUUUGUGCAUAUGUGGGACACCCAAUCGAUCAAUGUCCUACACUUUAUGAGUAUAACCAAUCAGUGCAUGCAUUUGGAGGAUUCUAUGAACAGCCAAGACAUGAUCCCUACUUUAACACAUACAAUUCAAGUUGGGGAGACCAUCCAAACUACGGUUAUGCUGGAGCUAACAAUUACCAAAAUUAUCAGGGAUAUCAAGCCCAACCAGCACCUCCAAGUACCAAGCAGCACCUUGAGAAGAUGAUGGAGACAUUGGCAAGUUCUAUGCAAAGCAUUCAAUAGCAGAUAGAACAAAUGACCACCUCAUUAAAUGCAAUCAUGUUAAGAAAAGAGGAAGAGUUUCAAGAUGAUGAGACAGAUGAUGAAAGUUCGCAAGUACAAGAACAAGCUGCUGAAGAGAAACAACCAGAAUACUGUUUGUCCAAACAAACUGGUCAAAUAGAACCUGUUGAUAGUUUAGAUAUCAUUGAUUAUUUGAGAAAAGAUGUUUUUUAUAUGAAUCAAGAUGAUAUUCUGAACAAUGAUCUUUGCAGGAAAAAGAGCCAGAAAGAGCCAUAACUAAAAGAAACUGACUAUUGCAUCCAACAGAUGGACUGCAGCCAUGCACAGAAUGAACAGAACCAAACCGCACCACUUCAGCUUGGUGCGAGAUCAACCUUGCAUAGACAGAGAGCAUUCCAGGUACGCCUCUUCAGCUUGAACUGCAAGACAGUCAUCCCUUUCAGGUAAGUCUUGCGCAGAAAGAGAAACCGAAAACCAAUUCAGCCAGACAGCCAACACAAACAGCCCAUGCUCACAAGGAACAAGUGGAAGUCCAAGAGCCCAAACCAAAGGAGCAUGCGGAUCAAUGCCUUCCCAAACCUCUGGAUAAGGUAGAGUUUGUUUUGCCUGAAUUCAGUACUAAAUUGCAGCUAGCUAUGGAGAAAUAUGAAUUGAAGUUGGAAAUGCUCAAGAAUGCAAAUAUGAGAGCUAGAGGCACACCUCAUCUGAAAGAGGAGAAGCUAAUCAUGUUACUUUAUGAGUACAUGAAAAAAGUAGGAUGGGUUAUGACCAAAUCAAAAGGAGUGCUACACUUUCUUCUCAAUUCAGUUGGGACUCUUUUCUCUUCCCCAAUUACUUGAGCCUUGAUCAAGGGGAUCGCACCAUGCACACCACACCCAGGGGAGUACUCAGUUUUCUUUUGCAUUUUAAUAUUUUCUAUACAUUGAGGACAAUGCAUAAUUUAGGUGUGGGGGUGCAUAUCUCUGAAUCUUUUCCUUUCAGCCUUUCAGUUUUUGCGAAUUUUUUUUCCUUUCAGUUUUUUUUUGCGAUUUUUCUUCUUUUUUUUCUUUCAGUUUAUGCUUUUUUUUUUCCUUUCAGUUUUCUUUUAGUUUGUUUUUGUUUUUGCUUUCAAUAAUAUACAUAACCACAAUCUUCUUCUUUUUGAUUGCUCUACUCAAACUGAUAGACUAUGUUGAAUGAGCUUUUCUUUCCAUGACCCCAUUGAUGUGAUGACACUUUAAACUUAUGUUGAAUCAAUUGCAGUGAGUUGUAUUCAUGUUUGAGAAUUACCUUUUGAAUUGAAUCUUUGAGCUUGCCAUGGUGAAAAAUGUAUUGAUGACACUCAUUAGAGAGAAUGAAUUGAAAUUUGUGUGAAUAAACUUAAUAUGACUUGUUUUAGCAAUUGGUGUUGAUUUGCCCAAUGCAUUGAUCAAAGAAAUUCAGCAAAGGCUUAGACUUCAUAAGCACAAUUGAAAACUGUUCGAAUGGUUGAAAGACUAUGAACAGAGCUAGUAGCCACUUGGACAGGUGACCAACUGAGUAACUGGGGGUGGGUAUCACCAAUAUGUACCUUCACGUCAAAAGGUUGGUGACUUUUUGAAGCAAAACUUAAGUGCAAAAGGCUGAAUAUAGUACUUUAAGGUAAGGAUAAAUCACUCUGAAAGCUAGAAAAAGUCUUAACUGAAUAAGAACAUGUGCAUGUGUAAUCUCACUCUUGAGGAAAACAAAUCCUAACCAUGGUAAGUAAAGGGAAAUAAGGAAAGAAUGUGAGUAAUCUUCAUGCAUAUAUUCUUCACUGCAAUGAUUCAAAAUAGGUGUCUUGAGUAAGAGUUUAAGUGGAAAUAAGGAUCAAGUAGCAAAGAAAGCUUGUUUGACUAAGUUUAUUUACUUGAGGACAAGCAAAAGGCUAGGUGUGGGGGUAUUUGAUAGAGCAUAAUUUAGCCCAUUUUAUCCUAAUAUUAUUGAUGUUUAUUUACACCAUUUCUGCCUAAUUUUGUGGUUUUAAUCAUGUUUUGCAGAUAAUAGGUGUAAAGAGACAAUCUGGUGAAAAUGCUCUUAAAACUGCCAAAAAGUGCCAAAUAUGGAAAGUUCCAAAAAAGGAAAGUUUUCAAAUAAGGAAAGUUUUCAAAAAAGGAAAGUUUUCAAAUAAGGAAAGUGCAGAAGCAAAAGCAAAUAAGGAAAGCUCAGUCAGAAGAUUAUUUGAAAUUCAAAUCGCAGAUCUUUCUUUCCUUGUUCAAAGAUGUGCACACACUGCAGCAGUCAUAUCUUCCUAUUUAGACAGCAAGAUUUCAUGAAGACGCACUUGCCUCUUCUGCAUUCAGCAUUCAAAAUUCAAAUGAAGGGUCCAACUAAAAAGAAAAGACUGGACAGAUUCACUUUCCCUUCUGUACAUCCAUCUGCGCGCGCCAACUUCCCUCUGCAGAGCAUCCGCGCGCACCUCUUGCCUUCUGAAGAGCUUGCAACGCGAUUCUUUCCUUUUCAGACACAACUUGGGCAGCAAGCACCUCUUGGGCAGCAAGGGCAGCAUGUAAGGACCUAGGGCAACACUUUCAACUAUAAAAAGACACAUAAGGAGCCUCCCCACAGCUUUUUCAAGACCCC